rnacentral:rRNA from 1 species
AACGAACGCUGGCGGCGUGCUUAACACAUGCAAGUCGAACGUGAAAGCCCUUCGGGGUGAUUAAAGUGGCGCACGGGUGAGUAAUACAUAGGAAUGUACCUACUAGUGGGGGAUAACCACGGGAAACUGUGGCUAAUACCGCAUGAAAUCUACGGAUCAAAGGGAGCCAAUACUUGUAAGCUUCUGCUAGUAGAGCAGCUUAUGUCCCAUUAGCUUGUUGGUAGGGUAAAGGCCUACCAAGGCUAUGAUGGGUAGCUGGUCUGAGAGGAUGAUCAGCCACACUGGAACUGAGACACGGUCCAG